GGGGUUAUUAUUUGCGAUUCUCAUUAAAAGGUGGCUAAAGUUACCCAGCACUUUCUUUCUGUGUAUGUUUCACUUUUACUGUUACGCCAUAUUAAUACUUGUUGAGAUACUGAUAUCAUUUGUGUAGUCUCUUGAUUUUCAAAUAUUGCAUACAAAUUGCAGUAAUUUUGGCCUGCUCUUCAUUAACAAUACCUGUACAGACAUUAACAACUCUUUUACUUUAAGAAAAACUUUAGCACACUCAUGAAUCCUUGUAAAUUUACUGUAAUUUUUUU